UUCUGGUUGAUCCUGCCAGAGGCGACCGCUAUUGGAGUUCGAUUAAGCCAUGCGAGUCGAGAGUCUUAGGGACUCGGCAUACUGCUCAGUAACACGUGGAUAACCUGCCCUGUGCUGGAGGAUAACCUCGGGAAACUGAGAAUAAUACUCCAUAGACCACUAUGCCUGGAAUGGUUUGUGGUUCAAAGCUCCGGCGGCACAGGAUGGGUCUGCGGCGUAUCAGGUUGUAGGGGGUGUAAAGGACCCUCUAGCCAUUGACGCGUACGGGUUGUGGGAGCAAUCGCCCGGAGAUGGAUUCUGAGACACGAAUCCAGACCCUACGGGGUGCAGCAGGCGCGGAAACUUCACACUGCGGGAAACCGUGAUGAGGGAACUCCAAGUGUUUGCACUAUGUGCAAUCUUUUCUUGACUUUUAAUAGGUCUUGGUAAUAAGGGGUGGGAAAGACCGGUGCCAGCCGCCGCGGUAAUACCGGCACCCUAAGUGG
rnacentral:rRNA from 1 species